rnacentral:lncRNA from 1 species
AACCCUUUAUUUAGUAGCAAGCUAUGGCUGAGACCUCAUUCAUAAGGAGAACCACCACAUUAUGCUCACUCAUCAUCAUAGCUCUGGCGGUGGUGGUGAUGGUGGUGAUGCUUCCUAGACUUCUUCUCCUCAUCAUCAUCGGAGUUGUCAUCUCCCUGACAAUUCAAAAAUGUAAUCAGAAUAAUUAAAGGACAAAUUUAUGAUCAUAUAACAUAAACAACCAUCUCACAUUCUUUUCCAACAUGAUUUUACAACAUGCAUGGGAUGUAUGAAAUGAAAAAUAGUUCUCCAAUAAUAGGUCCAUGCCAGAAAAUUGUGCUAAUCAAAAGCACAGCUGUAUUAAUGGGUUUUGCACUUCCAUGAUAAGAGAAGUACACAUGAGGAUAGGUUUUAUAAGAAAAUAGAAAAAGUUGUAUAACUCAACCAAGGUGCAAUGUUAAAAUGUGCAGGCGCCAUGGAGGCCUUCAUGUUUAUAUGGGCCUAACUUCUGUGUCUUAGACUGCAAGUACUCCUUGAAACAAUUAGCAACCCUUGGAACAGUAAACAUUCCUUGAGAGGCAGGAUGGCAAUUCUGUGGCUUUCCUUAUAGCAGGGCAAAGAAACACCAGCACAAACAUAAUCCGGGAUGAUUAUUUUAUAUAUCUUUAUAAAUGACAUUACAAACUAAGGGCUCUUAAGAAUUUGGGUCCAAGAUGGGUAUGAAUGUAUCCAUGCCCAAAUCCUAUUUUUUCUCAGCAGUUCUCAAAGCCUGCAGGAUCCAUUUACAAGUAUGAAACCAUUUCCUCAUGCCACAUCCUUUCACACACCCAUUCAUUGAAUAGGUUUUAGGACUGGCAAACCAGAUGACAACUUACAAUUGCAAUACCUCAUAGUCUGAUUGUGCAAAACAAUUAAAUAAUGACCCAAAAAGAAGGAAUGAGAGAGGGAAACCUCUUAUGCCAUUACAAGUUUUAAGUAGGGAAAGACUAGAUGUUCAGUAAAAUGAGGAAGCAGGAAACAACAAUGGUAAGAGAGGAGAUGAAGGUUUUCCUUUCCUUUUUUAAGUGGAUGGCAUCAAAAAGCCAAGAAAAGGUAUUCCACUCUGAUUUCAGCAUAAAUUUAUCACGUUUCUUAUAUUAAAAUAAGAGUUAUGUAAACAAGGGUAAUAAAAAAACAUAAAAAGGUUAAACAUGAACUCAUUUCAACAGAACAGUUAUGCCACAUUCUCCAUGAAUUUCUAAUCUAUCAGACAAAUAUGAGGAGAUGCAAAAAACAAAAAAAAAAAACAAAAAAAAUGCACUGGAACCAUGUCACAGAACCCAACUGCAUAACACCUUAUCCAAAUUAUAGACCAGCUUGGCUACCCUCACAGCCUCAACCUGCAUUUUUCAGACUUAACAACUUCACAUUAUACUUGAGCCUUCAACUUAAUCCAUUGCCAGACCAUCUCCAAGCACUCUCUCUCAUUUUAUGAUCAAUCAGCCACCUCCUAGCUUCUCACAAAUGUACCCAUUCCCAAUUGACUUCUUUUUAAUUUUCAAAACCAAAAUUCAAAAUAAACCUAUUGCAAAUGUAUUAUAUUAAUGAGACAGUAGAGCUAGUUUCCAUUUAGAAUUAAGUUCUAUACAAAGAAUUACAAUGCAUGAAAAAAAAAAAGACAAAGGAAAAAAUUAAUAAUAAGGGAAAAAAAAACCCUGGCAUUUAUGAAAAGAAAUUACAGUUCAUAAAAAGAUUAAAAUGAGAUAGAAAUUGAAGGCAUCCUUUGGUUAACAUUUCCAUGAAUACUCUUAUAUUUUUCAAACGCUAUAAUCCAAGUACUAACCAGAUAGUGCCUGAAUUGUAGAAUAGGAAUUCAAACGAGCACCCAUCUAGAUCACAAUUAGGUAGAUGAAAAACCAGAAUAAUGGGCCACAAAAGAGUAAACAAAUGAAACCUUUAGAUAUGUUUUUUGAAUGGAAAACCAAAUAAUAAAUCACAGCAAAAUCAAUACAGAUCUCCUCACAUUCAGAAACCAAAAUUAUCAAUAAUCUACUAGUCUCGGAUCCAAUUAGCCAAUAAGAAACAAUGCAGCAAAGAAAACCUUGUCAGAUCACACUCACAACUAGUCCACAGAAAACUAGGAACUAAAGUGAGGAAAGCAUUAAUGUACUCACGUAUUUUUUGCGGCCAUAGCCCUCUUCACCAUAACCGUACUUGCGAGGCUCAUCAUCAUCAUCGCGCCUCUCAUAAGCCGGCUUCUCGUAGCCCUCCUCUUCUUGCCCCUCAUUACUUGGCCUCCCAUAACUAGGCCUCCUCGGUGGCUCCUCCACCUCCGGACUCUCGUAGCUCGGCCUCCCAUACUGUGGCUUCCUGGGGGACCCUUCCCCACCAUAACCAUACCCGCCACCUUGUUCCUCUCCGAAGCUAGGUUUCCGACCGUACCCAGAUCCAUAUUCAGAACUCGGUGCUUCGUACUCAGGCCUCCGACCAUACCCAGAUCCAUACUCCGAACUGGGCUGCUCGAACUCGGGCCUCCGACCAUACCCAGAUCCAUACUCCGAACUAGGUUGCUCGUAUUCAGGCUUCCGACCGUACCCAGAUCCAUAUUCCGUGCUAGGCUGUUCGUAUUCAGGCUUCCGACCGUACCCAGAUCCAUAUUCCGAGCUAGGCUGUUCGUAUUCAGGCUUCCGACCGUACCCAGAUCCAUAUUCCGAGCUAGGCUGUUCGUAUUCAGGCUUCCGACCGUAGCCAGAUCCAUAUUCCGAGCUAGGCUGUUCGCAUUCAGGCUUCCGACCGUACCCGGAUCCGUACUCCGAACUGGGUUCCUCGUAAUCAGGCUUCCGCCCAUGCCCAGAUCCAUACUCACCCUCCCCACCAAAACUCGACGGCGGCUUCGGCUGAUACCCAUACUCACCACCAUCACCACUGCCUCCGAACCCUCCUUGGCCAGGAGGUGGUCCGGCGUAACCAAGGACCGGACGAGGCUUGGGACGAGCAUAGCUCUUGUAUUCAUUCUCAAGAGCUUCAUCACCGUAAGCCGAUGGUUCAGAGCAUGAUGUGUAGCUUGGGCGAUCGUAGUCUAUAUCACCGGACUUCGAGGAGAUCGGAUAGCAAGUCUCCUCCGACGGCUCCAAAGGGCGGCCAUAGAUGACCGUGAUGUCGUAGCCUCCACCAUACGGGGUCGGAUCGUACUCAUCG